rnacentral:lncRNA from 1 species
GACCCCAAAAUCCCAUUUUCUGAUCCCAAAAUCUCAGAUAUUGGCCCCCAAAUCCCAGCUUUUGACCCUCAAAUCCCCCAUUCUGACCCCAAAUCUCCCAUCUGGAUCCCAAAAUCCCCCAUUCUGACCCCAAAAUCUCAGAUAUUGGCCCCCAAAUCCCAGCUUUUGACCCUAAAAUCCCCAAUUCUGACCCCAAAUCUCCCAUCUGGAUCCCAAAAUCCCAUUUUCUGACCCCAAAAACUCAAAUCUCAGCCCCCCAAAUCCCUCAUUGAGACCCCAAAAACUCACAUCUGGACCUCAAAUCCCAUCUUUUGACCCCAAAAUCCCCCAUUCUGACCCCAAAAUCCCCAAUUCUGGCCCUGAAUCUGACAUCCAGACCCCAAAAUCCCAUUUUCUGACCCCAAAUCUCAUCUUUUGACCCCAAAAUCCCCCAUUCUGACCCCCAAAUCCCCAAUUCUGGCCCCAAAAUCUCCCAUCUGGACCCCAAAAUCCCACUUUCUGACCUCAAAAGCCCUUUUUCUGACCCCAAAUCUC